GUGAAUGGUGAGAUUAUAUUCUCGAAAUGUUUACGAUCUAGCAUCAUUUAUACCCACAUUAUAUAGGAUGAGUGCCAGAUAAACGCAGGGGAACGGGAAAUAUCGGCGGGUGAUUGCGACGUGCGUUGUUUUAGGAAGAGAUGCGCGCGCACAAUGGCCACGUAUAACAUCACGCGACAUAGAAAAAGAAUCGAGAGAGACGACCGAGAGAGAAUACGUACUCGGUUGUUUCUAGCGUGUGUGCGUGUGCGCGCGCGCGUGUGUGUGUGUGUGUGUGCACGCGUCCGCGCGCCCGCGCGAGGGAGCGUCACGGUGAGAUGAAACGCCAGGAAAAAAGACAAAGAAAGGAUUAUGUAUGGAAAAGAGAAACAGAAAGAGAUAAACGCAACAUUGUCGAGUUCUAUAGUAGUUGAAACACACGCACGCACAUAAGAGCGCUUAUAAUUUUUACGCUACGCGCAGACUCGUGUUGACUAUCGAAGUUUGUUUUCAAUCAGCCAGCAUCGCGUGAACUUGUUGCCCGUAUAAUUGGUAUAGUAUUGCGUGAAAGUUUAACGAACAAAAGCACAUCAUUGUUGCAUCAUCCAUAUCGUAGAUGUGAUAAUCAACCGGAUAUCGAUCAUAUCACGUCGAAUUAACAAAUCGAGAAAAAUGUUCGAUUGCAGAAGGAGCAUGUAUACUUUGUACAAUGCGUUCGUAUAAACGAAUAGGAAAUUGCGCUUUUGGCUUUUUAUACAAUUUUAUAAACAAUCGCUUGAAGACAGCGUUUAAUUUAAACAUCGAGGAGAUUUAAUCGUUGAUCAGAAUCAACAAAUAUUAUUACGUAGAAAUGGAAUGUAUCGAACGAGUUUUUACGCUCUUACCCUGAGAACGCGACAGAUUUCUUGUCUAAACAGAAAAUUUAAAGGACAAUGUUGUUCGGUCGCACAAAAUAACAGCAUAAACCGGUUUCUGCACGUGGCAAGAGUUGCUCGAUCGUGCCCGGUGAACCGGCAGUACCCAACUACAAUACCUACCACCAUGCUAUCGAUUUACGUAACUUUCUUCCACUUUUGACACACAUUCCUCCCUAAGUUAUUUUGAAGUUUCACGAUGACGAAACAGAAGAUAAGGCCAAAUGUGCGUUUGACUACAAGGUGAAAAGGAGUUUAAGGGUUGCGGAUUAUGUAAGUACAUACGUAUGUAACUUGAAGAGGCUUCGUAGCUAUGAAUAAUAAACGAAGGAGGGCAAUGUAAGCAGGUGCCAAAGGGGAAGGCGUAAUCGCGGAGAAACCAAGGAUGAAAAAAGAUAACGAAAGUUGAAUUUUCAAAAUGGUCGCUGCUAUUUCAUAAUCGUUUUUCGAGUUGUCUCAAUUCUGUCACGUGAUGUCGACUGUUUUAGAUAGAAUCGAUCGUUUAAAUCGAUCUGGAAUACAUGUAUUUAUAACGGCGACGUUAGGAAGCUCGAUUACUACGACUUAUCGAACAAUACUUGUAAAACCACGGAGAUGACUACGAAACUGUACUGUACAGACGAUGGGCGGAAAAUGCGGUACAGAUUGAUCGACGUUUGCAACUUGUCGUUGUUUGUACAUCGCAAAUACACAAGAACAUACAUUGUAUAAUCGGACGCCAAACGCGUAGUUGGAUAGUUAUUUUCUGACACUAGCGUGGACAAGCAAAUAUACCGUGCGAGUGAGCGAUAGGAGACCUUUGUACAAUGCGGAGCUGCAAAAAAUGUUGGCGCAAGGAAUGGGGGCCUGAUUGGCUAUUUCGUAUAGACCCAACAAAGUUAUAACGAUAAGCACCGUGUGUUAGCCGAAACCAUCAUAUACGUAUGUAUAUAAAUAAAAGAAUAUAGCAACGGGUGACGGUGAACGAUAGGAAGCACGUAUCUACAUGUGUAAGCAUAAGACGCGAAGAAAAUGAUCCACACAGAAAAUUAGCUCGAGCGCGAGUAAAUCCGAGCAGCCUCGAUUCGAUACGAUCAGACACGAUGACGAAAUUUAAAAUAAGCGCCUAUUCAAACUAUUAGUGUACGUCGUUGUGUUCGCAAUAGAGCAGUAGCAUUCAUAUCGCAUGCGCGGUGAGAUGAUCGCUAUAAUCAAAGAUGGAUUUCGAUGGUGUUCAAGAUGAGAGCGAGAUAACUCGUCAUUGAGUGUCGGUAUCUAAAUUAUUGAAACUAGGGCAUACGAUUAACAAAAUACACUCGCAAAAUGAAGAACGAUUCAUUGGAGAGGAACGUAGAUACUGGAUCAUAUUCGAAAGCUUUCAGAAUAUAUAUUCCACCUUGCGUAAUUAAUGCUGGAUACGUGACGCAGCUUACGCCAUUUCAAAGCGAUUUCUUUGUCGACGACCGAUUCACAUUGAUCUCGAGGGAAGAAGAGUAGAAAAGCGAAAAGCUUAAGCGAUCUUAACCCAAACCGAGCAUGUAAGAAAUAUCGUGUUUCUGCCUGUUACGUAUUUACAUUUCUUCUCCGAUCAACCACGUUGUUUCUCAUUCCGUUCCGACUCUUCGCUCGCUAUCGAGUCGUAUUUACGGUUGAAAUUCAUACCUUCUUGGAAGG